UACGUAGGGUGCGAGCGUUGUCCGGAAUUAUUUGGGCGUAAAGAGCUUGUAGGUGGUUUGUCGCGUCUGCUGUGAAAAUCCGAGGCUCAACCUCGGACUUGCAGUGGGUACGGGCAGACUAGAGUGUGGUAGGGGAGACUGGAAUUCCUGGUGUAGCGGUGGAAUGCGCAGAUAUCAGGAGGAACAUCGAUGGCGAAGGCAGGUCACUGGGCCGCAACUGACGCU
rnacentral:rRNA from 1 species